GUGCUCACUUUGCAGUACAUGUACUACAUUGGACCAUUCCAGAGAUUAACAGGACCCUUGUGCAAGAAUGACGAGCAAAUUCUUGAAACAUUUUAUGCUUUU